UGCCACAGCCAUAUCACCCUGCAGCCCAAGACCGGUUACACACUGAAGCUAAGCAGGGCUGAGCUGGUCAGUACCUGGAGGGGAGACCACCAGGGAACACUAGGUUGCUGUUGGAA
ensembl:rRNA 5S_rRNA 5S ribosomal RNA